GUCAAUAAAUGGCUAAUAGUAUCUGAACUCAGAUUAUACCCAAACUUGGUCAUGCCAGCUUGUGCUAAUAAUAUCUCAAGCAUGUUCUACAUAUUAAAUAUAAUAAACAUUAACCCAUUUUUAAGCAAAAUAUAUAUUUAUUCAUUAUCUUUAAUGAUAAUAUUUGAUUUCUAUAUCUCUAUCAAUCUUAUUUUAAAGAAGUGAAAAAUCCUUAGAUACAGUUAUUUUGCGGUGUAAGUAAAGUCAUUAGAGUAUUGGCUUAUAUCCUUGCCCAGACUC
rnacentral:lncRNA from 1 species